rnacentral:rRNA from 1 species
UGCCUGGCGGCUAGAGCGCGGUGGUCCCACCUGACCCCAUGCCGAACUCAGAAGUGAAACGCCGUAGCGCCGAUGGUAGUGUGGGGUCUCCCCAUGCGAGAGUAGGGAACUGCCAGGCAU